GUGCUCAUUUAGGCAGUACAUAUACUAAAACUGGAGUGAUUCAGAGAUUAGCAUGGCCCCUGUGCAAGGGUGACACUCAAAUUCGUGAGGAGUUUCAUAUUUAA